rnacentral:rRNA from 1 species
GUCCCUUCUCGCGCAGCUCCGGAGACCUUGCACCCCUUAUGGGAGGCAGCACGACGAUAAACAAAGCUCGCCGCGUGCAAGUUGGCCGCACGGUCAGCAACACAAUCGAAUUGACGGGGACCUCCUAAAGCCUGCAACACCAACCGUCCGGGGAAACUCGGGCGGGGCCCUCACGGGGUGGUAAGAGAGUGCAGGAUGAACAAUGGACGAUCCGCAGCGAAGACCCUACCGGCGAGAGCCCACGGGUACCGUUCACAGACUAAGUGAUUGUGGGCGGGGCGUCAGGCCCCGUCUAAGAUAUAGUCGGUCUCUGCUCGAAAGGGCAGAGCCUAGCGCGUCCGUAGGUGAACCUGCGGAAGGAUCAUUAAAGAAUCGCCCCGUUUUUUGAAAUGGGUUCUAUUCCCAAACCGUGUAUACAUACCUUUGUUGCUUUGGCAGGCCGCCUUUUAGGCGUCGGCUCCGGCUGACUUGUGCCUGCCAGAGGACCCAAACUCUUUUGUUUUGUGAUGUCUGAGUACUAUAUAAUAGUUAAAACUUUCAACAACGGAUCUCUUGGUUCUGGCAUCGAUGAAGAACGCAGCGAAAUGCGAUAAGUAAUGUGAAUUGCAGAAUUCAGUGAAUCAUCGAAUCUAUGAACGCACAUUGCGCCCCUUGGUAUUCCGAGGGGCAUGCCUGUUCGAGCGUCAUUAUAACCACUCAAGCCUCGGCUUGGUCUUGGGGUUUCGCGGUCUCGCGGCCCCUUAAAAUCAGUGGCGGUGCCGUCUGGCUCUAAGCGUAGUAAUUUUUCUCGCUAUAGGGGUCCAGGCGACCACCUGGCAUAACCCCCCAUUUUUUUACGGUUGACCUCGGAUCAGGUAGGGAUCCCCGCUGGACUUAAGCAUUUCAAUUAACCGGAGGGAAAGGAACCCACCAGGGAUUGCCUCAAUUACCGGCGAGUGGAAACGGCACCCGCUCAAAUUGGAAAUCUGGCUCUUUCAGGGCC